GCGACAAACAAUGUCAGCUCCUUUUUAAAUGCAUUAGCAGAGCAGUGUUAGGACUGGCCUCAGUUUGAUAAGAAGUUAUCUAUGCUGUCGCUGGGUUUUCCUCUUUGUGCUUGGCUUCAAACUGUCUAUGGACUGUCUCUCAAGGCAAUAAAUCUUUAUUGAUCGACCUCAAAUCAGGUAGGACUACCCGCUGAACUUAA
rnacentral:misc_RNA from 1 species